UAUUAAAGUUCUUGUAGUUGAAUA
rnacentral:tRNA from 1 species